rnacentral:rRNA from 1 species
UAAUAAAGGGUUUUCCGUAGGUGACCUGCGGAGGGUCAUUACACAAGAUUUGAGGCGCCGUCGUGAACCUGACGGCGAAAAAGCCGUACCCAACCACCCAUCUUAUCUGUAUCUUGUUUCUUGUUCCCGCCGUGCCUCCCUGUCGCUGUCGACUGGACAUGCCUCGGCCGCCCACCGGUUUUCAACUGUAACAAAUCCCUCCUUACAACUUUCAACACUCGAGUUCUUGGUUUCGUCUCCGCUUUAUAAUGAAAAUUGAUAAAACUUUCAACAACGGAUCUCUUGGCUCUUGCAUCAAUGAAUAACGCAACGCACUUUGAGCCCUUUGGUGAUUUGCAGGGCUUGCUGAAUCAUCCAAUCUUUGAACCCACAUUGCGCCCCUUGUGUUGGGCGUGGGCAUGCCUGUUUUAGCGUCAUCUCACCCCCUCCAGCUGCCUUUGUGUGGCUGCGGUGUUGGGGCUCGUCACAAAUCGGCGGCCCUUAAAGACAGUGUCGGUCCCCGCGUGGGCUCUACUCGUAAUUACUUGCUUCUCGCGACGGAGGGACGACCGUGGCUUGCCAGAACAACCCUAAUCGGCUCCAAAACAUGGAUCACAGGUUGACCUCUAAACCUGUAGGAAUACCCGCUGAACUUUAACCUCCUCUAAUGGGACGAAGGGAUUUU